ACUCCUACGGGAGGCAGCAGUGGGGAAUAUUGCACAAUGGGCGCAAGCCUGAUGCAGCAACGCCGCGUGAGGGAUGAAGGCCUUCGGGUUGUAAACCUCUUUUAGCAGGAAGAAGCGAAAGUGACGGUACCUGCAGAAAAAGCACCGGCUAACUACGUGCCCAGCAGCCGCGGUAAUACGUAGGUGCAAGCGUUGUCCGGAAUUAUUGGGCGUAAAGAGCUCGUAGGGCGGUUUGUCACGUCUGCUGUGAAAAUCCAAGGCUCAACCUUGGACUUGCAGUGGGUACGGGCAGGCU
rnacentral:rRNA from 1 species